AUUGAACGCUGGCGGGAUGCUUUACACAUGCAAGUCGAACGGCAGCACGGGGGCAACCCUGGUGGCGAGUGGCGAACGGGUGAGUAAUACAUCGGAACGUGCCCAGUCGUGGGGGAUAACUACGCGAAAGCGUAGCUAAUACCGCAUACGAACUCUGGUUGAAAGCGGGGGAUCGCAAGACCUCGCGCGAUUGGAGCGGCCGAUGGCAGAUUAGGUAGUUGGUGAGGUAAAGGCUCACCAAGCCGACGAUCUGUAGCUGGUCUGAGAGGACGACCAGCCACACUGGGACUGAGACACGGCCCAGACUCCUACGGGAGGCAGCAGUGGGGAAUUUUGGACAAUGGGCGCAAGCCUGAUCCAGCCAUUCCGCGUGCAGGAUGAAGGCCCUCGGGUUGUAAACUGCUUUUGUACGGAACGAAACGGUCCUGGUUAAUACCCGGGGCUAAUGACGGUACCGUAAGAAUAAGCACCGGCUAACUACGUG
rnacentral:rRNA from 1 species